UUGGUUUACUUUAGACAGGCGACUCUGCUCCGGCCAUAGCCAGGUUUUUUUCACGUGUCGCCAAGCACCAUUACAAGAAUAUGGAACCGUUAAUGUUCAAGAUGUAGCUGUUCUUGUGAUGGGUCCGCUGCUAAGACAGAUCUGCUUACAACAAACACACCUGCCGGGGCGUCCAAAGCUGUUCAUUUCUGUCAGAUGCGCCAGUACCGGAUAUUUAACGCUUUUGAAAAUUCAGAUGUUAUUCAGGACUGAGGAUGUAGCAUGUGGCUUACAUAUUUGACUUCACGUCAUUGUAUAAAUGAAUAUCGUGGUAGAAUAUCUGUCCAUUAAUAAUUGAAUAAUAAGUAUAUACCGUACUGCA